UACGUAGGGUGCGAGCGUUAAUCGGAAUUACUGGGCGUAAAGCGUGCGCAGGCGGUUCGUUAAGUUCGUUGUGAAAGCCCCGGGCUCAACCUGGGAACGGCAAUGGAAACUGGCGGGCUUGAGUGCGGCAGAGGGGGGUGGAAUUCCGCGUGUAGCAGUGAAAUGCGUAGAGAUGCGGAGGAACACCGAUGGCGAAGGCAGCCCCCUGGGCCGACACUGACGCUCAGGCACGAAAGCGUGGGGAGCAAACAGG
rnacentral:rRNA from 1 species